GGAGAGGUAUCGAAGCGGUCAUAACGAGGCGGUCUUGAAAACCGUUUGCCCUUACAGGCACGUGGGUUCGAAUCCCACCCUCUCCGCCA
rnacentral:tRNA from 1 species